CUUACUAGUGUUUAACUCAAAAUCCCGAGAGGCUUGCGCAGAGGCUGGAGCCCAGCAACCAUUGCUUGUCCUUAGAGCCCAUUUAAGGGGCACCCUCCUAUCAUCACCCAUUAGCUUUCUCCCGGUGAAGCAUGAAUAUUUUCACAGUGAAGCUCAGGUCUAACUGUGACACUCUCACUGCCCACAAAAUGCACAGGAUUCCAGUGAGCAAAUAGCCCCGCCCUGAGUCUACCCGGCAUCGGCCACAGGCAUGCAUAGCAGGAACUGGGCGGCUGAGUUCACAGGCAGUCAGAAUGGGUGCUGCUGCUAGCAAGGUUAAAAUCAUCUGUUCUGCCAAUGUCCCCCUCUGCUCACCCUCUAGGCUGUGGUCUGGGUCCCUCAGGAUAGCCACAACUUGGGAGGCAGCCACUGCUCCCCUUGCUUUGGGCCCUUAGCUGCGUCCUGUUUACCUUCACCUUCCUGAUACAUUCCUUGGGUGCUUUGCUUGUGUGUGCAGGGGCUUUGAUCAACUCGGCCUUCCUGGGCCUCGGGGAGAGAGACGGACUGCCUCCGGGUGCUCAUGACCUUUCCAGCAGUAAGCCAAUAAUGUAUGACUCCUGCGUUGCCGUUGCUCGUUUGAGGAACAUCUGUCCAGUCCCUGGGAUGGUGAGGCUAUAACCACAAAGGAAUAAGAGAAGACGACUAGUUUUGUAAUGGGCACAGUGGAUUGAAGAGGGGGGCAGUGCUGAGUCAUUCACGUGGUGUGUGAGGGCUCCUGUUUGUAAAUCAGGGAUUCUUGCAGCCUGCUUUUUCAGGGACAUUGGCUGCUGUCUUCUGACCCACCCUGUGUGGCUUUGGCGUCUCCUGUGACCUCCCAGUAUGGGUCUUGGCCUCAUCCUGCCUCUUUGUCUUUCUGGCCCACCACCCACAGCUUGAAUCUCAGGCUCCAACAGUUGCCUGACCCCCAGAUUCUGAUGACAGCCUACCUACUUGUUCUUCAGGCCCUCACCAGACUCACUGCCCAGACACACCACACAGGAGAACAUGAAAGGCUUUGAAUGAUGCAUUGGCCCACGUGGACCACCUUCCAUUUCCCAAGACUUUUUGAAGGCAAUGAAUGAGAAGAAAGCAGAGAAAACAGUGGGCGUGAGGUCAGAUGACUCAGGCUUGAGUACUGAUCACAUCAAGGAUUGGACGCACUGCUCUUAGGAAGGCACAACUUCUACUACUUUCAGUCUUAUCAACUGUGAGAGGAAGAAGAAGCAAAGCACACCAUUGAUGUGUGUGGGUUUGAUGUAGCAUCUUCUAAGAGGUCUACAAAGAGACAUUGCAAAGCCAGGCCUCUAAAUGAUUCCUCUGUGAAACAUUGGGCCAAACAUUCCGUAACCCCUUCCUGCUCUGGUGAUCAUGUAAGUAGAUAUUCUGGAAGCACUUGCUCUACAGAUGGAGAAUUGUCACCAUCUGCCAGGACAGCUCCUGCUCAUCUUUCAUGACUCAGCUCACAUGUCAUAACUUCAAGGGGCCUUCAGCUCUCUGGCCCUUCCUGCCCCAUGAAGGCUCUACCCAGUGCCCCCAACUUUGCUCCUUCGGCUGCAUUUGAAGCAUUUACCUGUGCUUGUUAAUUGUUGGUGGAAUUGUCUGUAGACUGUGACCUUGAGUGUGCAGAGUCUUGUAGAGUCAUCUCUGGAUUCCCCACUCUGAGAACCACGCUUGGCCAUUGCAGGCUCUCAACAAAGGCUUGCUGAGGGGAUGAAUGAAUGAAUGUAUGGAUGGCAUGAAUGUAUGGGCUCUGGUGAAUUUUUUGCCCACAUUUUGCUGGCCAGCGGCUGCAUUGGGUCUGCACACUGAACCCUUUGGCUCAAGGUAUCAGAGCUGCUCUCCUUCCAGUGAAGACUUGGAUGGAAGACUUGAGAUGCAGGUUAUGGGGAUACGUGUCACCUCUAUUCCUCAUUCAGAAGGAUACAUACCUCACUGGACCAUAAAAAAUGAGAACUGAAUUAUCUGAGUGUUUGAAUAAACUUCCACCUUGUUACUCCACUACAGUCUGAGAAAACUUCACUGCACAAAUAGAGGCAGUGUACACCCCUCACAGACACUUUCCUUUCUCCUGUUGAGAGGUGAAGCCAGCUGGACUUCUGGGUCGGGUGAGGACUUGAAGAACUUUUUUGUCUUACAAGAGGUUUGUAAAAUGCACCAAUCAGUGCUCUGUAAAAACGCACCAAUCAGCGCCCUGUGGCUAGCUAGCGGUUUGUAAAAUGCACCAAUCAGUGCCCUGUAAAAACGCAGCAAUCAGCACUCUGUGGCUAGCUAGAGGUUUGUAAAAUGGACCAAUCAGCACUCUGUAAAACAGACCAAUCAGCACUCUGUAAAAUGGACCAAUCAGCAGGACAUGGGUGGGGACAAAUAAGGGAAUAAAAGCUGGCCACCCCAGCCAGCAGCAGCAACAACACGGUCGCGUCCCUUUCCACGGUUUGGAAGCUUUGUUCUUUUGCUCUUUCCAAUAAAUCUUGCUACCCUUCACUCUUUGGGUCUGUGCCACCUUUGAGAGUUGUAACACUCACUGCGAAGGUCUGCGGCUCCAUUCUUGAAGUCAGUG
rnacentral:lncRNA from 10 species